AAUUAUUUCCAUUAAUUAAUACUGUUGAUUGCUCAUUUGCCUACUCUUCGUUUCUUAUUUGUUUUUGUUUUGGUCUUCAUUUAACGAUUGAUGUACAGAAUAGAUAGUGUUUGGAGUUCAGUUUUAAUUUUGACUUCACACGCAGAGUAUUAAUUUAAUUUGUUAUAAUUUAUUUAAGUACUUUUUUUAAAAAUUUCUGUGUUGUGUUAUUAUAAAUGUGUGUCAUCAUAAUGUCCAUGUUUAUCAGUGUUUUAUUUAUUUAACUGUGAUGUUAAUGUUUAUUUAUUUAUUACAAAAAUGGUUUUAUAAUCUUUUAUAGUUGUGACUCCAAACUCUAUGUUUUCUCCGACGUUUGAUGGGUGAAUUUAUUUUUAAUUCCUGCUGACGAAUGUUUAUUUAUUAAUUUU